rnacentral:tRNA from 1 species
GCCUUCUUAGCUCAGUGGUAGAGCACUUCCUUGGUAAGGAAGAGGCCGUCGGUUCAAAUCCGAUAGAAGGCU